rnacentral:rRNA from 1 species
GGCUCAGGACGAACGCUGGCGGCGUGCUUAACACAUGCAAGUCGAACGGAAAGGCCCUUCGGGGUACUCGAGUGGCGAACGGGUGAGUAACACGUGGGUGAUCUGCCCUGCACUUUGGGAUAAGCCUGGGAAACUGGGUCUAAUACCGAAUAUGACCAUGCGCCUCCUGGUGUGUGGUGGAAAGCUUUUGCGGUGUGGGAUGGGCCCGCGGCCUAUCAGCUUGUUGGUGGGGUAAUGGCCUACCAAGGCGACGACGGGUAGCCGGCCUGAGAGGGUGACCGGCCACACUGGGACUGAGAUACGGCCCAGACUCCUACGGGAGGCAGCAGUGGGGAAUAUUGCACAAUGGGCGCAAGCCUGAUGCAGCGACGCCGCGUGAGGGAUGACGGCCUUCGGGUUGUAAACCUCUUUCAGCACAGACGAAGCGCAAGUGACGG